rnacentral:rRNA from 1 species
UACAGAGGGGGCAAGCGUUAUUCGGAAUUAUUGGGCGUAAAGGGCGCGUAGGCGGCCUGGCAAGUGGAAGGUGAAAUCCCUCGGCUUAACCGAGGAACUGCCCUCCAAACUGCUUGGCUUGAGACCGGGAGAGGUGAGUGGAAUUCCCAGUGUAGCGGUGAAAUGCGUAGAUAUUGGGAGGAACACCAGUGGCGAAGGCGGCUCACUGGACCGGUACUGACGCUGAGGCGCGAAAGCGUGGGGAUCAAACAGG